AGGUGGAAUUGACCGGUUUUGGAUAAUAAUUGAUUUGAUGUGGAAGAAUGAAGAAGAGAGAGGUGUCAAGUAUAACUCCAUGGUAUCUGGUCUUCUGUGUGGAUAGAUGGUGGUACUAGUAUCUCAGUAAACUAGAAAUUCUGAAAGAGGAACAUGUUUGGAAGGAGAAAAGAAUAAGCUCAGUUUUGGAUAUGUUAAGUUUGAGUCAUUUGUUUGCCAUACAAAAGGAAGACCAGGUCUGGAGCUCAGAAAAGAGGCCUAAAUUGGAUAGGUCGAUUUGAACUUUAUCAGCUUUCUAGGUGGUAACCAAAGCCCAUUGAAUGAGAUCACCUACACUGAGAUUGUGAAGUGAAAAGAGAAAAGGGCCCAAGGACCAAGCUAUGAGGAGCUUACAGAAGAGGAAGAACUCCCAAAAGAGAGUGAGAAGGACCUACCAGAAUGCUCUGUGAGGUAGGUGCUGCCACAUGAUAAACACGUUCACAGAGGAACUGAUUUACUGGAAGUCACACAGCAAGUUAAUAGCAGAAUUGGGAUGCCAAUUCUUCAGAUUCCAAGUCCAGUGCCUUUUCCACACCACCAUAGGAAACAGAUAUGGAAUCGGAGCUAUUGAGGGAUGAAGGGAUCUUCCCAAAGUCACGCAGCUAGUGAGGGGCUGAGCAAGAAUUCAAAUCCACACAGUCUGUUUUCAGAGUCUUUGGUCUUCACCACUAUGCUACUUUGGUGAGAAUGGUUAUUGAUUAUUUUUCAUCGACACAGCUCAGCCUCCUGGAAUUAAAGCGUGAAGAGUGAAUCUGGAGGGACAAACUGAAGAUAUCCAGCCAAGAUACAUUGCUUAGUUUUGCCUAAGUUUACAAAAGUGGAAUCAUACGCUCUGGAGGCUGGAAGUCCAAAAUCAAGAUGUUGGCAGAGUUGGUUCCUUCUAAAGACUUUGAAGAAGAAUCUGUUUCAUGCCUGUCUCCUAGCUUCUGAUGUCUGCAUUGGUGGGAUAAGCUUGGAGCGGCCUUAGAAUGAAGCCAACCUAGAGGAGAGUGAAACAGAGAUAAAGAGAAUCCUGAUAAUAUAAUUUAAUCACCUGGUUCCAGCUGACUCCGAAGCAAGAUCCAUCCCUGGACUUUACAGUAACAUGAGCUAACAAAUUCCCCUCCCAUCAUGACCUCUUCCUUUUUCUUUUUCUUGUGAUCAUUAAAAGUGGGUAUAUGUUACUCAUAAUCAAAAGAAUCCUGACAGAAUGCAAUAUCUGACACUUUUAUCACCUCUGCUCUGCGUUUUCAAAGCUCUGCAUCUUCUCUGGCCACCAGGGUCUCCAUGCCUGAGUCCCGACAGCUGAGCAGGAGUUAACCAGGUUAAACAAAG
rnacentral:lncRNA from 1 species